rnacentral:rRNA from 1 species
UAAUUGAAGAGUUUGAUCAUGGCUCAGAUUGAACGCUGGCGGCAGGCUUAACACAUGCAAGUCGAGCGGUAGCACAAGAGAGCUUGCUCUCUGGGUGACGAGCGGCGGACGGGUGAGUAAUGUCUGGGAAACUGCCUGAUGGAGGGGGAUAACUACUGGAAACGGUAGCUAAUACCGCAUAACGUCGCAAGACCAAAGAGGGGGACCUUCGGGCCUCUUGCCAUCAGAUGUGCCCAGAUGGGAUUAGCUAGUAGGUGGGGUAAUGGCUCACCUAGGCGACGAUCCCUAGCUGGUCUGAGAGGAUGACCAGCCACACUGGAACUGAGACACGGUCCAGACUCCUACGGGAGGCAGCAGUGGGGAAUAUUGCACAAUGGGCGCAAGCCUGAUGCAGCCAUGCCGCGUGUGUGAAGAAGGCCUUCGGGUUGUAAAGCACUUUCAGCGAGGAGGAAGGUGGUGA